rnacentral:tRNA from 1 species
GGCGUGGUCAGCAUAUGGUCAGCAGAUGCUGAUAUGUUCGCGAUCUGGUCACUGGACGUUCCGCCUUGUCCUGACGAAAAACUGCCGCUAAUCAUCGUUUUACACCCUUCACACGGGUGGGGUCACAGGUUCAAUCCCUGUCGCGCCCACCA